GAUGAACGCUGGCGGCGUGCCUAAUACAUGCAAGUCGAGCGAACGGACGAGAAGCUUGCUUCUCUGAUGUUAGCGGCGGACGGGUGAGUAACACGUGGAUAACCUACCUAUAAGACUGGGAUAACUUCGGGAAACCGGAGCUAAUACCGGAUAAUAUUUUGAACCGCAUGGUUCAAAAGUGAAAGACGGUCUUGCUGUCACUUAUAGAUGGAUCCGCGCUGCAUUAGCUAGUUGGUAAGGUAACGGCUUACCAAGGCAACGAUGCAUAGCCGACCUGAGAGGGUGAUCGGCCACACUGGAACAGAGACACGGUCCCGACUCCUACGGGAGGCAGCAGUAGGGAAUCUUCCGCGAUGGGCGAAAGCCUGACGGAGCAACGCCGCGUGAGUGAUGAAGGUCUUCGGAUCGUAAAACUCUGUUAUUAGGGAAGAACAUAUGUGUAAGUAACUGUGCACAUCUUGACGGUACCUAAUCAGAAAGCCACGGCUAACUACGUG
rnacentral:rRNA from 1 species